AAGGUCCUGACAGUAGCAAUGUACCAAAAACAUGGAUAUAAAAUUAUACAUUUUUUCAUAAUUUAAUAUUAAGUCACACUAGCCAAAAAAUUCUUAGAAUAAAGUUGGGGUUUUUCCUUCAGCCGUUGUGGUUGCACUGUACCUUUAGGUUAUCUAGAUCUACAACGGCUGAAGGAAAAACCACGGAUUAAUUUCUCAGAAUAUUCGGCUGCUUAGUAUUAACAUUAAAAAUAUUUAUGUGUAAUAUUAAUUACCCUAUUUUUUUUCAUUACAACUGUAAGGACCUCCCUCUCCAACCCUAACCCUACCCCUAGACUUUCUAUUGGAUUAAUACACGUUUUCAAGACCAGAACAUGUGUGGUCAUGUAGCUCUACGGGUUACGCCUGUGAUGUUCAGGACUCAUUCUUGUAUUUUACACUCUCUGAUGUUUUCUUUUCUUCAUGUCUAGUGUGUGAAUCAUUUCUGGUUUGUCUCUUCAGUGUCUCAUGUGGCCCUGCAGCUUCUCCUCCUCCACCUCCUCCUGAAGCCUUCAUCUUCUUCAUCAUCAGCUGCUCAGUGACUCUGUUGGACGUCUCACCGUGUGGCAGCAGCUCAGGAGUUUGCAGUCAACCAUGGCCGACUCAGAAUCACUCCCACCGGGAAGAUCUGUGAAGGAAGGUCCACCCGGCUGGUCCAGAAGCUCCGGUCCAGCAGAGCAGCGUCAGGAUGGAGACGUAACCGGUGUUGAUGUCACCGCCUUGACGAAUAGAAGAAAAGCCUGUAUUUGGGUAUGUAGGACUGGUAGUCCAGAGGUAGUGCUGGUGGUUUGGAACCUGAAGAGUGCAGGUUCGAUCCCCCACCCUGCUCAAGCUUUUUUUUUUACAUUUGGGCAAAAGUUGCCAAAAAUCUGGGGCGCCCGUAUAGCUCAACGCGUUGAGCGGGCGACCCAUGUACAGGGGCUGGUCCCCGACGCAGCUGGCCCGGGUUCGAUUCCCGCUCGCGGCCCUUUGCUGCACGUCUUCCCCCGACUCUUCUCCCGUUUCCUGUCUCUCUCACACUGCACCUAUCCAAUAAAAGCCGA